AACGAACGCUGGCGGCAUGCCUAACACAUGCAAGUCGAACGGGACCUGCGAGCUUACUGGCGCACUCAGGCGUAACGCGGUGGAAACUGCCCUUAGGUUCGGAAGAACGCCCCGGAAAGGGUCCUAAUACCGGAUAAUGUCUUCCGACCAAAGAUUUAGCGCGUUUGGAUGGGCCUGCGUUGUAUUAGCUAGUUGGUAGGGUAAAACCCUACCAAGGCGACGAUACAUAGCUGGUCUGAGAGGAUGAUCAGCCACACUGGUACUGAGACACGGCCCAGACUAUUACGGGAGGGAGCAGUGGGGAAUAUUGGCAUACCGGCGAUAGCAUGAUGGAGUAAGGCCGGGAGAGCGAUGAAGGUUUUAGGGUUGUACAGUUAUUUUACACCGGAUGAUAAUGACAUUACCGGCAGAAUAAGCACCGGCUAACUUCGUG
rnacentral:rRNA from 1 species